GCCCGUCGCUCCUACCGAUUGGAUGACUCGGUGAAAUCACCGGAUGCUUACGAGCAGAAAGUGAUUAAAUCACGUUAUCUAGAGGAAGGAGAAGUCGUAACAAGGUAACGGUAGGUGAACCUGCCGUUGGAUCAGUUCUAGUUUUAAUAACUAACACCAACUU
rnacentral:rRNA from 1 species